AGCGAUGUUUGUGAUGGUCUGGGAGACAUGAGUUAGAGCUGUAUGCUCAGCCCCAGUGGAGGAGGCAGCCUAGGACACUGCAGACCAGCCAGCUUCAGCACUGUGAGACUACCUUGUCCUACUUCCAUCAGGGUUUUUCAAUGUGCCAGUAAAACAACCAAACCUUUGGAAGAAGGCAGAAAAUGGAAUUUUGAAAGUUUCUGAAGUUUCUUCAGCUGCCUUGUGGGAAGAAGUAACCACCUAGGAUCCUGUAGGCUACUGUGUCAAGGGAAAAUGUAGCAGAGAGUGAGACCAUGGACAAGGCAACCAAAACCACCUGAGU